UCCGUUGUAGUCUAGUUGGUUAGGAUAUUUGGUUCUCACCCGAAAGACCUGGGUUCGAUUCUUGGCAACGGAA
rfam:Ipomoea nil DNA, scaffold: scaffold0805, cultivar: Tokyo-kokei standard.